rnacentral:rRNA from 1 species
AUGUGAGUUUGAUCCUGGCUCAGGAUGAACGCUGGCGGCGUGCUUAACACAUGCAAGUCGAACGGUGAACACGGAGCUUGCUCUGUGGGAUCAGUGGCGAACGGGUGAGUAACACGUGAGCAACCUGCCCCUGACUCUGGGAUAAGCGCUGGAAACGGCGUCUAAUACUGGAUAUGUGACGUGACCGCAUGGUCUGCGUUUGGAAUGAUUUUUCGGUUGGGGAUGGGCUCGCGGCCUAUCAGCUUGUUGGUGAGGUAAUGGCUCACCAAGGCGUCGACGGGUAGCCGGCCUGAGAGGGUGACCGGCCACACUGGGACUGAGACACGGCCCAGACUCCUACGGGAGGCAGCAGUGGGGAAUAUUGCACAAUGGGCGAAAGCCUGAUGCAGCAACGCCGCGUGAGGGAUGACGGCCUUCGGGUUGUAAACCUCUUUUAGCAGGGAAGAAGCGAAAGUGACGGUACCUGCAGAAAAAGCGCCGGCUAACUACGUGCCAGCAGCCGCGGUAAUACGUAGGGCGCAAGCGUUAUCCGGAAUUAUUGGGCGUAAAGAGCUCGUAGGCGGUUUGUCGCGUCUGCUGUGAAAUCCCGAGGCUCAACCUCGGGCCUGCAGUGGGUACGGGCAGACUAGAGUGCGGUAGGGGAGAUUGGAAUUCCUGGUGUAGCGGUGGAAUGCGCAGAUAUCAGGAGGAACACCGAUGGCGAAGGCAGAUCUCUGGGCCGUAACUGACGCUGAGGAGCGAAAGGGUGGGGAGCAAACAGGCUUAGAUACCCUGGUAGUCCACCCCGUAAACGUUGGGAACUAGUUGUGGGGUCCAUUCCACGGAUUCCGUGACGCAGCUAACGCAUUAAGUUCCCCGCCUGGGGAGUACGGCCGCAAGGCUAAAACUCAAAGGAAUUGGCGGGGACCCGCACAAGCGGCGGAGC